ACAUUGGAACGCGAACGCUCUCGGAUCCAUCCACCUCCAAAGUCCAAAAGCGAAGCCUACGCCCGCCCCAACGGUGAAAACGUCGGAACCCUAGAUCCCUCUCACGGUCGCGCCUGUGCUCCAAAACCUUAGAUCCGACAUGCAUCAGCCCAGAGCCCGCUACCCACCCGGGUAUGGCUCCAGCGGGGGAGGCGGUGGCGGGGGAGGCGGUAGUGGAGGAGGAAGAGGAGGCAGCGGCGGCGGAGGAAACCACAACUACUACGGCCGGAACACACAUCCACAGCAUCAACACCACUACCAGCAGCAGCAGCAGCACUCGCAUAGGAACUCCUCGCACCAGCAGCAGUGGCUGCGGCGAGACCAGGGCCCCGCCGUUGCGGGGCCAGUGUCUGGAAACGCUGUGCCUAAGACGGCGCCUCAGCUUGACGCUGUUGACUCGAGUUCUCAAGAUUGGAAGGCUCAACUAAAUAUACCAGCUCCAGACACACGCUACAGGACAGAGGAUGUCACUGCAACAAAAGGCAAUGAGUUUGAGGAUUAUUUCUUGAAACGUGAGUUGCUUAUGGGAAUAUAUGAGAAGGGAUUUGAAAGGCCAUCUCCUAUUCAAGAAGAAAGCAUUCCUAUUGCGUUGACUGGAAGUGAUAUUCUUGCAAGGGCGAAAAAUGGCACUGGAAAGACUGCUGCCUUUUGCAUUCCGGCACUUGAAAAAAUUGAUCCUGAAAAUAAUGCAAUUCAAGUUGUUAUACUAGUACCAACAAGGGAACUGGCUCUGCAAACUUCACAAGUGUGUAAAGAGCUUGGGAAAUACCUAAACAUUGAAGUUAUGGUUAGCACUGGAGGAACCAGCUUGAAGGAUGACAUCAUGCGUUUAUACCAACCUGUUCAUCUACUCGUUGGGACUCCUGGCCGAAUACUUGAUCUUACCAGGAAGGGCAUUUGUGUGCUGAAAGAUUGUUCAAUGCUUGUCAUGGAUGAGGCAGACAAGCUAUUAGCUCCAGAGUUUCAGCCUUCUGUGGAGGCACUUAUUCAUUUCCUUCCACCUAGUCGACAACUGUUGAUGUUUUCAGCAACCUUUCCUGUAACUGUCAAGGAAUUCAAAGAGAAAUAUCUGCCUAGACCUUAUGUGAUUAAUCUAAUGGACGAACUGACCCUGAAAGGAAUCACACAAUAUUAUGCUUUUGUUGAAGAAAGGCAGAAAGUUCAUUGCCUGAAUACACUUUUCUCAAAGCUUCAAAUUAAUCAAUCCAUUAUAUUCUGCAACUCUGUUAAUAGAGUUGAGCUGCUGGCUAAAAAAAUAACUGAACUCGGUUAUUCAUGCUUCUACAUUCAUGCUAAGAUGUUGCAAGACCACAGAAAUCGAGUAUUUCAUGAUUUUCGUAAUGGUGCUUGCAGAAACCUUGUGUGCACAGAUCUGUUUACCAGAGGAAUUGAUAUUCAGGCUGUUAAUGUGGUUAUUAAUUUUGACUUCCCUAAGACAUCUGAGACAUAUUUACACAGGGUUGGCCGUUCUGGGAGAUAUGGACACCUUGGUUUAGCAGUGAACUUGAUCACUUAUGAGGACCGUUUCAACUUGUAUAGGAUUGAGCAAGAGCUUGGAACAGAAAUUAAGACAAUACCCCCGCAGAUCGACCUGGCCGUAUACUGCCAAUGAUGAAUGCGACAUUCAGGAGCAUCAAACACUUCUCUUUCUAUUUGAGAAACUUAUCAGGCAAAUACGUUUGUACAUAGCAACCCAUCAGGGCUUUGUUUUGGCACCUUGAUGACGUUUGUAAGCUUACCUGGAUUAGUAGAGGAAGUGCUUCCUGUAGGCACUGAUACUAACCCGUUUAGCUGAGGACAUGCACGCUGGGCUGCUUGGAGGCCCAGAACUAUGAUGAGAUGAGACAAUAUCUUACCUCACUUGACAUUUUCACUCGACUUGUUUGCCAGUCUCAGUUCUACUUGACUUGCCUGUUCUCAUUUGAUUCAUCUUCCGUUUUCUUCUUUCCUAAUGUUAUGAUGCAUAUGGAUGUCUUUCUGUAGCUGUAUGAUGUGUUGAGUUUAUUUUUUCUUGGUGUAUGUAUACAGCUUAACUUGAAAUUAUUUCCAUAUCAACUUCUUUGC